rnacentral:lncRNA from 1 species
ACCUAUAUAUUUUAGGCCAUGUCGACGGUAGGUUAUGGUUUUGCUGAAGCAUAUGUGCUCAGAGGCCUCCACAAGAAGAAGCUGAAGAUGGAGCAAGAAGAAGAAAGAGCCAAGCUGGGCAGAGCUGAAUCUGAAAUUGGUCAGCCCAGUGGUUGUUUGUUUCGGGUGAUGAAGAAAGUCCAUCCAAGCAAUGCUCAGAGUCAAAGGGCUUGUUCAGCUGAAACAGAAGAAACUGGAGAAGUUGGGGCUUUGAACCAGAAAGUUAGAUAGAGCUCAGGCUCAUGACAUUUGUAGCUGCUUUCAGUAAAAUUGGUUGUGCAUAAAAAAAAAAUUGUUCUGAAAAAGUGUAUGUUUGGGCUAAGUCAUGCCUUUAGCUUAAGACUUUUUAAUGGGUUGGAUCUAUUGGUUUCAGUCCAAAUUCCAGGCCCAGUUUGUAUUAUUAUGACAGCAAUUGUUUUUUUUUAUUUGUUUAGAUUAUCAUUAUAAUUUAUUUUGAUGCACUUAAGCAUACUCAUUACACAUUUAAUUUUGUUUUGUUGGUGGCCCAAAAUUGGUUCAAUGAAGACUUUCAAGAACACGAACGAUUUAAUGUGGUUUUUCAAAGCCAGCCUACAUACAUAAUGAUGUUGAUAUAGGCAUAAUGCAUACUUAUCUGCCCCCAAUGUGAGACCCAAUGACUAGGCCUUAUCAUAUGUUGUGAGAAAAUCUCAUUUUGAUCCUCCACCUUUUGUUCUUGUUCGUCAAACAAGUAACAUCUAGAGCUUAAUUAUUGAUAUGCUUCGGACUAUACUCGUGUCAUGUCGGAAUAUUUAUUAGAUUUUUCAACAAGAGUUAAUGUAAAAUGAAACACUAAAUUCAAGUUUGGGGGAUCAAAUAAGAUAAAUUGAAUGUUACAGGGUGAAAUGAGACUGAAAAUGAAACCAAAUUUUAAGGGUCAUAUCUAUAAGACUAUAUCAAUAAUUAAGUCUAAAAUUAUUCUCACAAUCUCUCUGAGUCACUUCUAAGAAGAACUAGGAGACCGAGGCCUGUAGCCUAUGUGUGACUUUUGAGCUUGUGGGUCAAGAUAGUAAUGUAUUUGUAAUUAGUGGUUUAUAUGCUCAUGAAUUUGGAAUGGCAUCAUCAAAUUGACUUUUGCACACACACACUGAUUGAUUACUAUUUGAUUAAUUAAGUAUAUUACUAAAAUUAGUAGGACCUAAAAGAUGUCAUUAUCUCAUGUAAAAUCAAAUCACAUGCAUUAUGCAAAACCACUUUUCCACUUUUUCACUGCUGUUAUACUGUUUUUAUAAAGUAUAGCCGCACGGCCAUACUAUAUUUUUAUAAUUAAAAACAUAGUAUAGCCGCUCGGCGAUACUCUUUUUUUAAAAAAAAAUAAUGCCCCCGCGUAUAGCCGGUCGGCUACACUAUUUAUAAAAAAUAAAGAGGACCCAUGUGCCACUUUUUAAAAACAGUAUAGCCGCCCGGCUAUACGUUUUUUAAAUAAUAAAAAACAUUUUAUUUUCCUGUAACCAAACUCAUAUUUAACUAUGUAUAAUUAUGUUAUACGGAAAGCAAGUAAGAAAAUACAAAACAAAAUUAAAAGGUAGCACCCUAAACAGCCCAUUUCUGAUAGUAUUUGUAACAGAGGAAGAAACACCAGCUGUGGAGAAGCUAUUGGUUUUUCAGAAUCAGGAUUUGGGGUUCAUGGAUGGUUGAGGCUUUGUUGUUUUUCAUUUGGAUGUUUGAGAUUGUAUAUUAUUUUGUUCCCGCGUAAAUGUCUUUUUCUGCGUCUUUCUCCUUUCUCUCUCUCUCACAUCAGCUGUUUAAAAACUUGCAACGUUUUGAAUGAUUGAAUGAUUGAACGAUCUCAUUUUUCUUGGUAUAAUUCACAAAAAAGAACAACCGUCUUCACAUAAUCACAAAAAAGAACAACGUUUUGAAUGACUAUAGUGAAAACGCCCAAUACUGCAAGUUAGUACGGACCCCAACUAACGGAACCUCCUGCAAUAAAAAGCAUGAAACCAGUAAACUUACAACAAACUCGAACUUAAAUGGUAUUGGACAGAAUUGAUACUAUGAUCUAAAAACCUCAGAUAUGUACUAACAUCACCACGACAAAGAAUUAUGACUUUUCCCCCAAGCAGAUGCUUCUGGGAUCCAAUGUGACUGUAGCUGUGCAAGACCCUUCAUUUCCAUUAAAUAUAAAUAAAAUCAAAUAUGUCUUUCUUUAAUUCUAAAUUAGGAUGAGACAUGAGGAAAAUAAUCAGUGUCAUCUCACUCUCAAUAUUAAUUUUCCUUUUUCCAUUGCAACUAUGGAUUGGCUCUUGUGCCUACAGAAACAAGGUUAUAGCUGAUGUUUAUAAACGUCUUGGAAUACUAAAUUAAAGCUACAUGGAGGCCACACAUCCAUUAUUUUUCCCAUUGAAUUUUUUUGCUAGGAAUCUUAUUGAUUUAUUGUGUUUUGGGACAGGCAUAUAUAUUAUAGAUUCUACUGUCAUUGCCGGUCGAGCUGGUAGGUUUCAAGAGGAAACUGGGAAGUAUAAGAACAUUGUGUACCUGAACUGCAGGCCUGAGAAUAAUUUUUUUCCUGAUCUAUCAAUUGCUUCUAGGGCGGAUAUCGUAUUUUUCUGCUCUCCAAACAAUCGAACUGGCAAUGCUGCAUCACAGCAGCAACUAAAGCAACUGGUGGAGUUUGCAAAAGCAAACGGAUCAAUAAUAGUUUAUGACUCCUCCUAUGCUGCUUAUAUAUCUGAUGACAGCCCGAGAUCGAUUUAUGAAAUUCCUGGGGCCAGAGAGGUUUCUCACUAGUUCUCCUCACCACCAUAUAUCAUUUUGUGCUUAACUAUACAAAACCUUCUUGUUAAACUUGACAUACAAAAGGGAUUCUCACUGGAAGUUGUUUUGGCCAAUUUUGUGUGCAGGUUGCAAUUGAAGUUUCAUCCUUCUCCAAAUUUGCUGGGUUCACAGGGGUCCGCCUCGGAUGGACGGUUGUCCCUGAUGAGUUGUUGUAUGCAAAUGGAUUUCCUGUCAUAAAGGACUGUAACCGCAUAGUGCGCACCUGCUUCAAUGGUGCAUCAAAUAUUGCCCAGGCCGGAGGGCUGGCAUGCCUUUCUGCAGAAGGUUACCAGGUUAUAAUUUACACCCCAUUUCUUUUCCAAGCAUGCAUUAAUUCUCUAGUAAGUUAAAAUCCAAUGCAGUUUCAAAUUUUAACUGUUUGUAAGUUGUGCUUUUUACAUUUUCAGGCCAUAACCACAGUGGUUGACUACUACAAGGAAAAUGCAAAAAUAAUUGUGGACACAUUCAGAUCACCUGGGUUGAAGGUGUAUGGUGGCAAGAAUGCACCUUAUAUAUGGGUACAUUUUCCAGGGUUGAGUUCUUGGGAUGUAUUCAAUGAAAUUCUUGAAAAGACAGACAUAGUGACCAUACCAGGAAAGGGAUUUGGUCCUGGAGGUGAAGAGUACAUCAGAGUUGGUGCUUUUGCCCACAGAGAAUAUAUUGGGGGCUUCAAAAAGGCUAAAAACUCUUUUUUAACUUGAGUUAUUUCAUAAAUAUUUGAACCCAGUUGACAGGUACUUGAAGCAAGAAUGACCAUCUUCUUGGAUAACUUUACUGGUUCAUGAGAUGAAUUAGGAUUGGACAAUUAUUUGGUGCUGAUAAGGAAAAAUCUAAUUGAACUGUAUUGCAUUGUUCAUAAGAUUUGUUUCUUCUCAGCCCAUUACUGGUUGUGACUUGUAUAAAUUGUAUUUGUCCUCAUUCAACAUGGCAUCUUGAACCCUUCUUUCUUUUUAUAGUUUCUUGCACUCUCCAGAUGAUGAUUGAAUUAUUUACAAAGGGUAAACUACUCAAAUGAUCCUCAAAUUUAUACUCGAUUUACAUUUUGGUCCCUCAAAUAAAUUAUUCGUUCAAAUGGUCCAUCAACUAUAUAUUAUUCGCUCCAUUGGUCCUACCGUUACAUUAUGUUAAUAUUUCCAUUAAAUAUGAGGGCAAAUUGGUCAUUAUUUACCCUAAAAUUAGGUUAAAUCUAACAGAAAAUUAGACGGUAGGACCAUUAGAGCGAAUAAUAUAGAGUUCAUGGACCAUUUGAACGAAUAAUUUAGUUGAGGUACCAAAAUGUAAAUCAGGUAUAAGUUUGAGGACCAUUUGAGUAAUUUAUACAAAAGUUCCAAUUUAUAUUUGUUAAACUUUUUGGGGUAAAUUACUCAAAUGGUCCUCAAAUUUAUACCUGAUUUAUAUUUUGGUCCCUCAAUUAAAUUAUUCGUUCAAAUGAUCUAUCAACUCUAUAUUAAUUGCUCCAUUGAUCCUACCAUUACAUUAUGUUAAUAUUGCCAUCAAAUGUAAGGAUAAAACCGUCCAUAAUUGUCCUAUGUUUUCCAAAUAUGUGAUAAGCGGUGAUACAUAAGUGAUAAAGUGGUUAUACAUAUGUGAUAAAGUGGUGAUACAUAUGUGAUAAAGUGUGAUAAAGUGAUACAUAUGUGAUAAAGUGGUGAUAAGGUGGUGAUAAAGUGUGAUACAUAUGUGAUAAAGUGAUGAUACAUAUGUGAUACCGUGGUGAUAAAGGGGUGAUACAUAGGUCAAAAGUUUUAUUUACCCUCACAAAUGUAGCAUGUGCUGCUCAUAUGACUAAAUUUAACAGAAAAUGUAACGGUAGGACCAAAGUGCCGAUUAAUAAAGAGUUGGUGGACCAUUUGAACGAAUAAUUUAGUUUAUGGACCAAAAUGUAAAUCGGGUACAAAUUUGAGAGCCAUUUGAGUAAUUUACCUAACUUUUUGAGAUUGUACCAAAUUUGUACUUUGACCAGCUGACAUGAUUUCAUGUUACAAACACGAACAUAAAAAUUAAGCGGUUAGUUGGUUGCAUGAUGAGUUGACACGAUAAUAACACGCUUAUUAAUGUUCAUUCACAAAAUACAAUGAAAAUAGGGGUUUUAGGUUCAAUGGUCCAUGAAUUUUCAUAUGAUUCGCAUUUUGGUUCCUCAAUUUCCAAAAUCGUUCCCAUAGUCCUUCAACUUUAGUUUCGUUAUGACAAAUGGUCCUGCCGUCAUUUUUAUUAAUUUUUUAUGUUAAAUUCAGGGAUUAAAAGGUUUUUUUUGUAUUAUUUUUAAUUUCCACCAUAUGAAUAUUUCAACAAAGCUAUAGACAACCUCCACCCGACAUCGAGCCAAUUAACCCACCAUCUCGACAACAACUGAUGGCGCUCCCCCAACCCACACCAUACGCACCCUCCUUGCGAUGACGAGGAUAGGAAUAAAGUUUUUCAGUUUUUAUUUUUUGGGUGAAAGGAAUAUUCACAUGGUGGAAAUUAAAAAUAAUACAAAUAUACCAUUUUGCACUCACAUUUAACAAAAAAAAAUAACAAAAUUAACGGCAUGACCAUUUGUCCUAACAAAAGUAAACUUAAAGGACCACGAGUAUGAUUUUGGAAACUAAGGGACCAAAAUGCGAAUCGGGUCAAAGUUUAGGGACCAUUAGACCUAAAAACCCAUGAAAAUAUUAAGAAAUGAAAUCAUUCAUUAAAGAGUUAUUUACAUAAACACACCCAUGAGGUUUUUAGUGUUUUCACAAACCCCCACUCAGUUUCUAAAAUUACAUGAACACCCCUUUUGAGAUUUCAAAUUUUUUUUAAACAAAACCCACUUUCAUUGAUUCUUCAUCCAAAAUUUGAUGAUUUCAUAUAUAAAAACUUUUGUAAAUAAUAAAUGAACCUCGAUGAAUGUAUAAAAACUUUUGAGAUUUCAAUUAGCCAACUCAAAUUAUCUUUCUUAAUUCUAAAAUUUAUUAUUAUUAAAGUUCUUAAUUGUAAAUUGCCACACCCAAUUUUUUUUUUUUUGAAAAUUAAAAACCAGUAUUUUUUUUUAAUGGAAAAAAUAGAAACCUUACAAACGAAAGCCAUGAGGGCACGCAGGCCCAACUAAAUUAAAAUAAAACGGAGCAGAGCAACCUAAAAGAAGCCCCUGCUCCCAUAGGUGGGAAGGGUUCAGAGAAUGGCCUAAAUUAGCUAAAACGUUAGCUGUGAAGUUAGCUUCCUGGAAGAAGUAAGAACUUAAUAGCCUUAUGUCUUGUACGAGGAGAUGAAUACUCCAAGGAACUGAAACUUUGUUGUUGUUAUAGUCAAUAAUGAGUUUGGAAUCUCCUUCAACUAAAACUUUGCACCAACCAUUGUGGAUUGCAUAGGUGAGACCAUCAUGAAGCACUAAACAUUCAGCAACAUUUAUCUAAAUCUGACCCGAAUUCUUAGCUCCAUCGAGCCAAACGUUACCAUUCCAGUCUCGAGUAAUGAAACCAGUGGUGGCUAGAUUACCACACACUGAGCCAUCAAAGUUCAAUUUAAUCUAAUCGAGCGAUGGUGGUUUCCAUUUAAUGGCAAGCUCACCUUUGGACUUUUGAGGAGGAGUGGAAUUGAUUUUCCAAAAGUCUAGUCCAAUCUGACCAGUAGCAUUAAGGGCUCUAACCGAAUGAGGGGCAAUGUCUUUAAACACACAAUUGUUCCGAACCGCCCAAAUUUGCCAACAGAGAAGAAGGGCUUUGGAAAGAAUAUUUGGGCCAUCCUUAUCCUUUGUGUGAGGGAAAGCAGCUAGCCAUUCUAUACCAUGAAAAUUUUGCUGGGUAGGCGUACGGAUUAUUGAGGUACACCUUCAUAUGUUGAUUGUAAACUGGCAUUCAAAGAAUAAAUGGUUAAUAGUCUCCCAAAAAAAAAAAAAACCAAUUGUCGAGGGCGAGAGUAUAUACUUCUUUGAUAUAUAGAAAGAGCUAAAACAGAGCUCCAAUUUCAGAUUCUAGUAGGUUCUUUAAAAAACAAAUCUAAAUAACAUUAUAUAAGACAUUUUUCAGCUAAAAAUUCAAAAACCCUAAAUUGCGGGCGAACCAAUAGAAAAUUCACAAAAUACCGAAUAACUAAAACUGGACCAUCAAACACCCCAUUAGACCCAAAAAAACGAACACCGCAUUUCAAAAUUCAAUAUCAUCGAUCAAACAAUAAUCUCCCAAGAUUGUCCAUUGAACCCUAAUCUCCCAAGAUCGUCCAUCGAACCCUUAUAUCCUCCAUCUAAUCACCAACUCUAAUCAUCAAGAUCCUUAUUGUGAUAAUGGACAUGGUCGAGGAAUUUGACGACUAUAUGAAUGCAUAACGUAAAUCGCUAGCCACCACAGUUAAAACCGUCGUCGAAAUAGAUGCCGCCACAGCCACCGUCGAAAUGGAUGCCUUCAUAACCGUCGUCGAAAUGGAUGCCGCCCCCAAACGUAAAGGUCGUGAUUUGCCAUUCGUGGUCGAAAUUGCCACAGAAAAACGUAAACGCUGUGAUUCGCCAGCCUGCGUCGAAAUCAAUGCAGCUACAGCCGCCAUCGAAAUCAAUGCAGCUACAUCCACCGUCAAAAUCAAUGCCUCUACAGUCGCCGUUGAAAUCAAUGCUGCUAUAGUCGCCGCCAAAAACUGGGUUGCUUGCUACCGUUAAAAAGCAGGCGGUCCGCAAUGCAAAGUUGUACUCCAGAUUUGCUCACCCGGUUGUUGAAACUGCGACUACGAACGAUGCAAGGCCAGUUGAUCUCACUGUCUACUAAUCCCUUAGAUUGUUAUGAAAUUUGAUUGUGUCCUGUUAUUCUGCCUUUGGAUUUUCUGUUGGUGGUUGUUCUUUUUGGUAGGAUUCUGAUGUUUGUGUUCAUGGGAAUAUGUUAAAAAUAUUGUAUUCUUCAAGCCCAGUAAUGACCUUGUGGUGAUUUUAUGGUUGGUUAGGGAACACUAUUUGCAUGUUUUUGUUUUCGAAGAUUUUCAUAGUCUGUUUGGUUGCUGAGAAAAAGGUGGGAAAACCAAGGACUUUAGUGAAGAAAUAAGGCGGUUGACCAUAUCUAAAAAAAAAAAUCUAUUUGGAGGAUAGUUGAAUUUUGACCUAGGUAGUCUCUCUUUUAGCUCAUUUUGCAGGUGUCAAACCGUGAUUUACAUGGUAUAGUGAAGGCAACUUCCAAUUAAACACAAGAGCCGAGUUCUCCUUUUAAUUGUUUGCAUAUUGAAUGCUUUUACUAAGUAUGAGGAUAUGGAUAUUUUGUAUCUGCGUGUGCUCCUGUGGUGACUGACAUCACCCCAGCACCAGCCUGCUCAUCCAUGGUGGAGUAACUAGCAGCUAAUAGAUAGCAAGAAUUAAAGUACUUCUAUUUGCAUUUGAUACUCUUCAAUGUUGCAAUUGGGUUUUGUUGUGUUUUGUCUCUUAUCUUGAUUGGGAGCGGUAAAUUUUCCUGCAGUUUUCUCAUGCAAGCCAAUUCAACAACCUUUCUGCUCUUCAUACUCUGAUACUCUAUGUUGUACUGUAUUGUAUUUGUCCUCAUUCAACAUGGCACCUUGAACCUUCUGGCCUUCUUUCUUGUUAUAGUUUCUUCCGCUCUCUAAAAGGUUCAAACAUGGGCCUCUAUCUAGGUUGACCAAAUUUUCGACGGCGAGAGCUUGGCGAACCAAUAGAAAAUUCACAAAAUACCGAAUAACUGAAACUGGACCAUCAAACACCCCAUUUCCUCAUACCCAAAAAAAGGGACAUUGCAUUUCAAAAUUCAAUAUCAUCGAUCGAAUCCUAAUCUCCCAAGAUCGUUCAUUGAACCCUAAUCCCCCAAGAUUGUCCAUUGAACCCUAAUCUCCCAAGAACGUCCAUCGAACCUUUAUAUCCUCCAUAUAAUAACCAACUCUAAUCAUCAAGAUCCUUCUUGUGAUAAUGGACAUGCUCGAUGAAUUUGACGACUAUAUGAAUGCACAACGUAAAUCGCUAGCUACCAAAGCUAUCACCGCUACAACCACUGUCAAAAUGGAUGCCGCCAAAGACACUGCCACUACAACCGACGUCGAAAUGGAUGCUGCCACAGCCACCAUCAAAAUGGAUGCUGCCAUAGCCACUGUUGAAAUGGAUGCCGCUACAGCCGCCCCAAAACAUAAAGGCAGUGAUUCGCCAGCCGUCGUUGAAAUUGCCAUAGAAAAACGUAAACGUUGUGAUUCGCUAGUCGGUGUCGAAAUCAAUGCGCUACAGCCGCCGUCGAAAUUGAUGCCGCUACAACUGCCCUCGAAAUCGAUGCCGCUACAUCCACCGUUGAAAUCGAUGCCUCUACAGUCGCUGUUGAAAUCAAUGCCGUUAUAGCCGCCGCCAAAAAUCGGGUUGAUACUGCAAGGCUGCUUGAUACCGCUAAAAAGCAAGUGGUCCACAAUGCAAAACUGUACUUUGGAUAUACUCACUCGGUUGUUGAAACUGCGAGUACGAACGAUACAAGGCUAGUUGCUCUCGCUGAAAAACUGGCUGCUAGAAGCCGUAUAGAGUUGGUUCCUGAAUUUGUAAAGCUAAUGGCCGACUAUAAAAAGCAUAUGGUUGAAUUGGAAGUUGUUUCUGACACAGCAGUGGAAACGCUACAACGCGCAUUCGACGAUGUUAUUGAUAACAUGAUCCCCAAGAUGCCUAAUCUCGCUGACAUGUCUGACAAGUUGAACGAUCUACGAUUACGCCAAGCACGUAAGGCCAAAACUCGCAGAGCAUCUAGCCGUGUCACUGGCUUAGUCUGAAGUCUCUAUGAUGUUGUCUCUAAUGGCAAUUUUGGAGCCAUGACAUGGAAGACGGAUGACACUCUUCCAGUUUCCAGUCAUGGGAGCUGCGUCUCCAGUCACUUACUUUUUCAUUUUCCCGCGCCUGAUUAGCGCUUCUAUCUCUUCCUUCAUCUGGUACCAGUGCGUGCAAAUAUCACCGAGAUUACAGCCAUCAUACAGAUGACUGCUACCAGCUAAAGGAAGAGAUAGAAGCGCUGAUCAGGCGCGAGAAACUGAAAGAGUAUAUGACUAGAGACGCAACCCCCAUGACUGGAAAUUGAAAGAAUGUCAUCUGUCUUCCAUAUCAUGGCUUCAAAAUUGCCAUUAGAGACAACAUCAUGGAGACUUCAAACUAAGCCAGUAACACAGCUAGAUGCUCUGCGAGUCUUGGCCUUACGUGCUUGGCGUAAUCGUAGAUCGUUCAACUUGUCAGACAUGUCAGCGAGAUUAGGCAUCUUGGGGAUCAUGUUAUCAAUAACAUCGUCGAAUGCGCGUUGUAGCGUUUCCACUGCUGUGUCAGAAACAACUUCCAAUUCAACCAUAUGCUUUUUAUGGUCAGCCAUCAGCUUUACAAAUUCAGGAACCAACUCUAUACGGCUUCUAGCAGCCAGUUUUUCAGCGAGAGCAACUAGCCUUGUAUCGUUCGUACUCGCAGUUUCAACAACCGAGUGAGUAUAUCCAAAGUACAGUUUUGCAUUGUGGACCACCUGCUUUUCAGCGGUAUCAAGCAACCUUGCGGUAUCAACCCAAUUUUUGGCGGCGGCUAUAACGGCAUCGAUUUCAACGACGGAUGUAGCGGCAUCGAUUUUGAGGGCGGUUGUAGCGACAUCAAUUUCGACGGUGGCUAUAGCGACAUUAAUUUCGACGCCGACUAGCGAAUCACAACGUUUACGUUUUUCUAUGGCAAUUUCAACGACGGCUGGCGAAUCACUGCCUUUAUGUUUUGGGGCGGCUGUAGCGGCAUCCAUUUCGACAGUGGCUGUGGCAGCAUCCAUUUUGAUGGUGGCUGUGGCAGCGUCCAUUUCGACGUCGGUUGUAGUGGCAGUGUCUUUGGCGGCAUCCAUUUUGACAGUGGUUGUAGCUGUGAUAGCUUUGGUAGCUAGCGAUUUACGUUGUGCGUUCAUAUAGUCGUCAAAUUCAUCGAGCAUGUCCAUUAUCACAAGAAGGAUCUUGAUGAUUAGAGUUAGUGAUUAUAUGGAGGAUAUAAAGGUUCGAUGGACGUUCUUGGGAGAUUAAGGUUCAAUGGACGAUCUUGGAAUAUUAGGGUUCGAUGGACAAUCUUGGGAGAUUAGGGUUCAAUGAACGAUCUUGGGAGAUUAGGAUUCGAUCGACAAUAUUGAAUUUUGAAAUGCAAUGUCCCUUUUUCUGGGUAUGAGGAAAUGGGGUGUUUGAUGGUCCAGUUUCAGUUAUUCGGUAUUUUGUGAAUUUUCUAUUGGUUUGCCAAACUCUCGCCGUCGAAAAUUUGGUCAACCUAGAUAGAGGCCUAUGUUUGAACCUUUUAGAGAGCGGAAGAAACUAUAACAAGAAAGAAGGCCAGAAGGUUCAAGGUGCCAUGUUGAAUGAGGACAAAUACAAUACAGUACAACUAUAUCCAUAUCCUCCUACUUAGUAAAAGCAUUCAGUAUGCAAACAAUUAAAAGGAGAACUCGGCUCUGGUGUUUAAUUGGAAAUUGCCUUCACUAUACUAUGUAAAUCACGGUUUGACACGUGCAAAAUGAGCUAAAAGAGAGACUACCUAGGUCAAAAUUCAACCAUCCUCCAAAUAGAUUUUUUUUUAAAUAUGGUCAACCGCCUUAUUUCUUCACUAAUGUCCUUGGUUUUCCCACCUUUUUCUCAGCAACCAAACAGACUAUGAAAAUCUUCGAAAACAAAAACAUGCAAAUAGUGUUCCCUAACCAACCAUAAAAUCACCACAAGGUCAUUCCUGGGCUUGAAGAAUACAAUAUUUUUAACAGAUUCCCAUGAACACAAACAUCAGAAUCCUGCCAAAAAGAACAACCACCAACAGAAAAUCCAAAGGCAGAAUAACAAGACAACCAAAUUUCAUAACAAUCCAAGGGAUUAGUAGCCAUUGUAUAUGAAAUCAUAGACUUCCUAACAAAUCCUUAUACUGAUGCACAAAUGCACAUGUUUAGAAGGCAUGCCAAUUCCAUAAAAAUGUUCAACAACAUGUAUUCCAUAAAAAUUCUUACCCAAAUUGCAUGCAACCCUAGAACAGACUUUUAGAAUGUUUUCAGUUACGGGCGCAACCCUAAGAUUUAAUCUAGGUUGUUAUCCAAAACUGAAAAACCUGAUAAUGGUGCAAUCCCAUAUAUUGAAGAAGGAUGAUGCUCAAUUGUGCCAGAAGCACAGCUUAUAACAGUAACACUGGCAUUUGGAACUCCAUAUAGAGGGAGCAUACUAAAGAAAACUCACUCCCUCAAUAUUACACCCUCCCUCAAUAUAGAGGAGAGCUUGUAUCUACUUUGGCAAAACAAACUGAAAGAGAAACUGCCAAGGUCAAAAUUCAACUAUCCUCCACAUACAUAAUUUUUUUUGGUCAACUGCCUUAUUUUUUCACAAGUCCUUGCUUUUCCCACCUUUUUCUCAGCAAACAAACAGACUAUGAAAAUCUUCGAAAACAAAAACAUGCAAAUAUUGUUCCCAUGAACACAAACAUCAGAAUCCCACGGAAAAGAACAACAACAACCCACAGAAAAUCCAAAUGCAGAAUAACAGGACCAAAAAGAACAACAACAAAACAACAACCAACAGAAAAUCCAAAGGCAAAAUAACAGGACACAAUCAAAUUUCAUAACAAUCCAAGGGAUUAGCAGCCAUUGUAUAUGAAAUCAUGGACUUCCUAAAAAGUUCUUACACUGAUCCACAAACGCACAUGUUUAGAAGGGCAUGCCAAUUCCAUAAAAAUACUUCACACCACCACAAGAACGAGCCUCGAUCGUCAUUACAAUUCUUCACAAAGAAAGCUCGCGUAAUAUCAUCGCUUCCUUGCCUCCACCAAGCCGACCAGAGUAUCAAUCUUCUUAUCGUUGGUGAUUACUUUUUUGUCCAACUCAUCAAAUUUCCCAUCUAGUCUUGAGAGGUCACCUUUCUAAAUUUCGAGCAAGUCUUUCUUUUCGUCUGCGCCAAGACCCGCCUGAGCCAGUCUGGGCGGGAUCGUGGAUGACGGAAAGGCCGGCGGCAUCCGUCUCGGUGACGGAGAUUUCUCUUUGGAAUUCGGCUUCGGCUAUGAGAGAAGAGUGGAAGGUUAGGGUUUUAGGAUUUCUAGCGAGUCCGAACCUCUCAAUUUUAAAAACUGGGGCUUGAACAGGCUAUAAGCCUAUUAUGCGGGUUUGGGGAGAAAAACCCAUUUGUCAAAAUUUAAUACAGAAGAAUAAACAGUGGUUGGGGAAGAAAAAACCCAUUUGUAAGUGGGUUUUUUACAUUUUCAGUCCAUAACCACAGUGGUGACUACUACAAGGAAAAUGUAAAAAUAAUUGUGGACACAUUUCAGAUCACUUGGGUUGGUGUAUGGUGGCAAAAAUGCACCUUAUAUAUGGGUACAUUUUCCAGGGUUGAGUCCUUGGGUUUGAGGCUAGUUGAAAUCUAUCAGGUUAGACCCAAGGUCCAACAAGGAGGUCAGCAUUUGAGCUUGAGCGACCCCAAAUCAACAAGAAUGACUGGAGGCCCAAAAUUAAUAAAAGCGGUUGAGCAUGUAAAUGCGGUCAAGCAUGUAAAUGUGGCCGGGCACCUAAAUGCGAAUAGCACAAAAGUGAUCGAAUGAUUAAAAGCGGUUGAAUGCAUAAAUUUAGCCGAGACUUAAAUGAGGAGAGAGCAUUCGUAGGAGAAUUUUCACAUAUGUUAUAAUCCAAGGCAAUUAUGCCAAUCCGAUGGUUAACCAAAGUUAAUGUGGGAGAGCUUAGAAUGGAAUGAAGAUCAAAUCAAAAUAAUUAUUCAAAUUAAACCAAAAGCAUAAAUCAAGGCAGUUGAUGAAAUCAACCAAAAUUAAUGUUAUUUAUCAAGGAGGAAAUUAUGAUCAAUUUCAAGGCCAAUUGAUGAUCAGUCAAAUAUAAACGUGUUGUAGAACCCUUAUAAAUACCAAGCUAUAAAAGAGAGAAAGGAAGCCCGAUACAACAUACAACUUGUCAUUUUACAUAAUUUUUAAUUCCUAUCCUAGAAAAAGCGUAAAUUGUCAUUUAUUUUACUCAAUUUACAUUAAGCACUUAUCUUUAAAUUAUUUAUUUUAUACACUUUAAUUUCCAUCAUUUACUUUACACAAUUUAAUUAUCAUAUUUGUCCCUUCAAUUCCAUUUAAAUUCAAGAACCUUUACAAUUUACACACUUGUUCUUUAUUUCAUCCACAUUUCUUAGUUAAUCUUCAUUUCUAUCCACUUCACAUCACUUGGUUUGUCACACAAAGCUACUUAGGAUAAGCAAGUUUCUUGCUCGGCUGAACAAUAAUUUGACUAAAGAUAUAUCUUGGAUGCAUCAUCCACUCACAUUCCCUUCAAGCCAAAUUUGUGACUUGGUAGUGGCAUACACGAAUGCUCAAUUAAAGAAUGACCCAAAAACUCUUUCAAUCGGCCUACCCAACCUAAAAUAAGGAAACAUAUAUAUUCAAUGAAAUUUCUGGAACGACAGACAUAGUGACCAUGCCAGGAAAUGGAUUUGGUCCUGGAAGUGAAGAGUAUAUAAGAGUUGGUGCUUGUUGAUGAUGACUUUUGUGCCGACAUGCAUGUUGGUGCUUUGUUGUUAUUAUUUUUGUAUUUUUCGUAUAUUUGCAAAGUUAGUUGACGGCUUUUCAUCUCUUGAGCCAAAGCUCAAGUAAAAUAGCAAAGUGAGUUGCCACUUGGACCUUUGGCCAACAAAAUUACAUAAACAGCUGUUAAAAUUAUCCAAACUGCUGUUAUACCUUUCAAGUUUCUGCAGGGCAUGAUGCAAAUACACAAUUUAAGACAUCUUAUCGAAGAUGAACUUUUGAAAUGAAAAUUAAAGUAGAUUGUCAGAAGAUUGGUAAGAAGAGGAAAAAGAGGAAAUUUUAGCAAUGCUAUCUCAUCCACCCUCAUAUUCUGUCAGCAACUCCCUAAACUCAUUGUCAGUGCUCUUGAGUAUCAAUGGCAAGGCACUUCCACCCAACUCUACACAACCUCCAUGUGCCUUGGCUUUAUCCUCUUCUCCAAGCUAAAAGCGAAGUACUGGGGAAAUUGCUUAGUUCCUCCAACUUCUUCCCAAUGUCCACAAAAAAGUAUUCAAACUUUGGCUAUGCAUGAAAAUCAACCACCAAGGGUGCGAAGAGCACCAUUUGGUUCACCCACAUGUUAGGCAGACUCAUUAUGCGGAAAAUUCUACUAAACAAAUUCAAACCAAACAAGGGCAACCUUGUAGCAAUUCAAAACUCAAAAAAUCUCAGACUAAUGCCAAUCAUACAGAGUACACAAGCCAAAAAGAUAUAAAUGAACAAGAAAGAAGAACAUGAACAAAUUCAUACCAAGAAAUUGAGGAAAGGGGUUUGCAGUUGUAUACUCAAGAAUGGCCAAAGAGGCUGCCAUCAACCAAACAAAAUGGCAUCUCAGGCAAAUGCUAGUGAACCAUAAGCACCAGUAUGAGGCGUAAUUCAUCUUAAGGUCAAAGUAUCCAACACUUGCCUCAACUCAAUUAAGGUUCUUCUAAUUCAAUUCUCCUUUUGUAAAAAUCUGUUCUGUUUGUAGUAUUUAUUUGUUUAUUUUAUAGCAAUUUAGCAUUCAUAUUUCCUACAAUCUUAAGACGAAUUGGCCUGUCUUAAUUGCUAUAUACAUUAGUCGUGCAUUUAGAUGAAAAGUUGCAAACGGUUUGAAUAUAAUGCAUAUAACAGUUUACUCCUUUAAUUGACAUUGAGAUUGACGCUGCAAACGUUUUUGAAUCUGGUGCAAACGGCAAACAUCUUUUAAUUGAUUUCCUUUUAGUUGGUUUUUCUUUUCUUUUGUUUUAUCUACAAUUUAAAGUCAGACUUCUAGGUUUAUUGUUUUGUUAUCAUAAAGUCUGAUUGCCUUCUGUUUCUGUUGUUAGACAAAGUAUACGUACAAUAGAAGGUCCCGAAAGUGAUCUUCAAUGGUUACGGAGAUCCUCUAAACGGUGGAAUGAUGAAAAAGGGUUGUACUCCCCAAUCCAAUUGCAUCACUCUCAGGGACUCCAGUAACUCUUCAAUUCUUUUCUUAUUGUUUGGGAAACGAUCUUAGGAGCAAAAUUGCAGUUUCCCAAACCUAAAAGGAAACACAAGACAAAAGGAGCCAACAGCACCUCCUCCACUAUAAAAGCCCCUUCCAGCCGCGAGAAACUCCAUUCUGUUUUUUUUCUUUUAAAACUCAAUUUUAUCUCUCUCAGUAUUUUUUCUUUCUUUCUUUUCUUAUGGGUGAAUCGGAAAACCCCCUCCUCAAUGAAUUCGGGGCCUCGCAGUCAACUCCUCCUGAGCCGGCCCCCAUCGCCGACCAAUGCUUGAAACCGACCCUUGAUGAUUGCACAAGCUUCAAUCGGAACAGAAUUGCCGACUAUGGUAAGAAACUUUUUAAUUUCACCAAUUUGUGGAAUUUAGAUCCCUUUUUCGAAUCUAGUUUCAUGACUGUAUUGUAAUUUUGUUACUGGAGAUUAGAGUUAGUGGUUAACAUGAUAGAAUGAUCAUGUGUUAAUGGGUCUUAUUGGAACUUAGCUAGUUAUGGUCAGAAAACAACAGUCUUCGGAACUAAUAUGUUUAUUGCUGCUCUUGAUAAUCACAUGAGUUGCUGCUGCUCUUGAAAAUCAUAUGUACAAAGUAAAGUAAGAGCUUUUUCCUUAGACUGAUGAUGCUUUAAUUGUUAUGGCCAUGGUAUGUAUGCAUAAACUUUGAAAUUUUGAUGGCCAAGGUAAUUAGACUCUUGUUUUAUGAUGAUAAAUGAAUCUUGCAGGAAUUCAGACAUCUCGUGAUGCCAAACGUGUUGCUGGCUCUGCAAAGAUAUCAGAGUUGAGCAACAAGAACAGAACAUUGUCCUCCAAUACUCUUAUGAGCUCUGAGCAGGAAAUUGAAUGCGGCGGGGCUUCCAUGAAGCUUGCAUCUGGAUUUCUUAAGCAGAAGCAAUUCGAGGAGGACAUUCAAUGCAGGUUUCUUUCUAAUUACACGAUUUAUAUUCCUAGAAUUGAAAACAGACUAGAAUUAUCAGUUUUCUAUGGCUUCUAGGGAUAAUUAUUUUUAGGAGCAUUCAUAUUGAUUGAUGCCUCAUUUAUUUAUAAAAUUCUUCAGACCCAGGUUUCCAACAUUUAGAUUUAGGUUUUUUGUCGGAAGCUAGUUGUUGAACACAGUUGUAUUUUUGGUGUAGCUUUAAUUUUGUUGAAAAAGCAGCUAAAACCUUUUGAAAACAGAAGAGGAUGAGAAAAUAGGAUAUCACUUUAGUGAACAAGGAUGCAUCAAGAAAGAAAACCAUGUUAAUCAUUAUACCUUCCUAUAUCCCUUGGUACUUGGCUCUUGAUGAGCUAACAUCAUCGCCAUAUCUAGUAACAAGGUUAAACAUGACUGUUUGAUUUUUUUUUCCCCCUUAAUAUGUCAAUUCCACCCAGCAUUUUUUUAGAGGGCAUACGUUAUGUGUAUAAUAUAUAUUGCAUGGCUCAGGUUGAUUAAUUGUGAUACUCCUACCAAAGGAAGGAAGAGAUCCCAGUCAUCUCUUGGAUUGCCAACCUCUAGUCAGUUAAAAAGAUCAAAGAGAUCAUCACCAGCAGAAAGAAGACCAUCAUCAAUUGAUGAUCUCCCUGACACGGCAUUGGUUGAAAUCCUUUGCCGACUUCCAUCAAGUAAAUUUGUGUUUCAAUGCCAGCGUGUGUCCAAGCGUUGGCGCACACUCGUCUCAGAUCCUUAUUUUAUCGGCCGCUUUGUACAUAUCCAGAGUUAUAGGAAAACUCCAAAGAUACUCACUCUGAUAAGUAAAAAAGGAGAGGAAUUCCCUCCUAAAAUGCCAUGGCCAUCCAAGCUACUAACUCCAGUGUUCGAAAGAAUAAUGAGUUUCCACCCUUUGAUAAGUCAGCUAGUUGUGGUAGCGACGUAUAAUGACUUAGUUUUGUGCUGCGCAAGUGAGUAUUAUCCACGCGAUUACUACAUCUGCAAUGCAUACACAAGGCAAUGGGUUGCUCUUCCUCCUCCCCCAAGUCGAUGUCACGAUUCAUCUGUGAUAUUCCUUACUAUAAUUCUAAGAAAGAAGAUUGGAAAGGGCAUAACGUCCAGCUUAAUGCUAAGUGUGUGUGCAACGUUGUGAGAAUACUUCCUCCUGAUGAAUCUGCAAAUGAUGACAAAUGUGAUUCCUUAAAAUUAAGCGUGGAGAUCUUCUCUUCUGAGACUGGUGAAUGGAGAGAAUCAGUUGUGGCUUCCCCACAAUACUUUGAUUUUGAUGACCUUGAAGAUAUAUCCUUUGCAUACAAUGGGAUGUUAUAUUGGACAAGUGACGAAGACCUUCUUUUUGUUGGUUUGGGUCCCUUCAAUGACAAUAACACGACAACUAGUAGUAGUAUCAGCAGUAAUGGUGAUGGCGUUAUUGAUCAUAAACUUCAUUUUACUGUAUUUGAGGAGCCUCUAAAUGGACAUUUUGUAGUUGAGUACCUAGGUAUGUUCGCAGGAUGUGUGCGGAUGUGUGACUUUAAGGAGGCUACCAAAACUCUGUAUGUUUGGGAGUUGAAAGAACAAGAUCAUGAUCGGAUGGUCGAUGGAGCUGCUGGCAGAUUGUGUUUAACUAACCACAGGGUAUAUCAGUUGGACCCAAAUAUGUAUCCAGAUGGUCCAUUUACAUGCGAAAUGCAGGCUUUUGACCCAAAUAAUAAGGAUAUUUUGUAUCUGCGUGUGGACGGAGAUAUUAUCAAGUGCAACAUUCAUACAAAAAAGUGGUCUAGGAUAGUUAGACGGUGUCCAGUUCGUAAUGGUGACUAUUGGCCAGUUGAGCUCCCAUGGUGGCCGACUCCAGUUCCUAGAUUACCGCAGCAUGCCCAUGGUGGAGGAACUAGCAGCUAGUAGAUAACUUGAAUUGAAGUACUAAACUUUUAUUUAUUAUAGUAGGAUUAUUUGUAUUUGAUAUACUCAGCAAUGUUACAUUUGUAUUUGCUGGUAAUUACCCUAGCAUGUUUUUUUAAUUACUCUUUUUGUUAACUGGUUUUUUUUUUUUCUUUUCUUAUUAUGGCGAUAUACGGAGGACUGCGAGUCGUUCUGUACACGCCCAGUUUAUUAAUUAAAGCAUUCUUUAAGCUGAAUUUAAGUUUUGCAAUCUUAUUCUUGGUUCUUUCUUUUGUUUUGUUUUGUUUCUGUUUUUGUUUUAAGUUUUCUGACGUACAUCUUAUAAUCUUGUUCUUCAUCAUUUGGUUGCUUUCUAUUUUCUAUUAUACAAAUUUGCCCUGGGUUUGAGUGUUAAGCUUUGAUUUUUGCAUGAUUCUAAGUUUGAGUGUUAAGCUUUGGUUUUUGCAUGAUUCUAAGUAAUUUGUUUCAAUAGUCCCUGUAUCCAGAGGUUCCACGUAAAUGCUUGUUCUGUUAUGUGAUGAAGAAUCAAGGAAGGUAUAUCAUGAUGUUUCAUAUAAUUGUUGACCUUAAACACUACUAUCAGAAAUGGGCUGUUUAGUGUGCUACCUUUUGAUUUUGUUUUGUGUCAUUCUUAGUUGCUUUCCGUAGAAAAUAAUUACAUAAUAAAAUAUGAGUUUGUUUACCGGAAAAUAAAAGGUUUUUUAUUAUAUUAAAAAAAACGUAUAGUUGCGCGGUUAUAUUGUUUUUUAUACUCGAGGUUUUUUAAAAUAUCGUAUAGACAUACGGCUAUACUUUUUUGACACGUGGCGAAGCGAGCGCUAGGGGCCAGGACGGUUUUUGUAAAAAAAACGUCUACCUCGCGGCUAUACUAUUUUUUGACACGUGGUGAAGCGGCAUAGGGGCCAGGCGGGUAGUCCUUUUUUAAUUAUACAUAGUAUAGCCGUGCGGCUAUACUCGAGGUGCGAAAUGGCCGCAAUGGUCCUCUUUUUUUAUUUAUAAUAGUAUAGUCGCGCGACUAUACUCGGAUUUUUUAUAAUAAAAAUAGUAUAGCCGGCCGGCUAUACUACGGUUUUUAUUAUAAAAAAUUAAUAUACCCACGCGGCUAUACUAUUUUUGACAUGUGGCAAAGCAGCGCUAGGGGCUAGUGGGUUGUCUUUUUUUAAUUUAUAAACAGUAUAGCCGUUCAGCUAUACUCGGGGGUUUUUAUUUAAAAAAAUUAUAGCCGCCCGGCUAUAUUAUUUUUGACACGUGGCUAAGUGAGCGCAGGUGGGUCUUUUUUUAAUAAGGCUAUGCUCAGAAUUUUUUUAUAAUAAAAUAGUAUAGCCGCGCGGCUAUACGACGUCGCCAAUUAACAAGGAGUUAACCACGCACGCAUCGACGUCAUACCUCUACCGCUCAGAAACCAAUUUCUUCUUUGCCUCCUCAAACUCCAAAGGCCUCACCAAACAAACAGAUAAAAUUCAACGAUCAACCGAAAAAGAAACCUAAACGGUCAAUAUUCGUCACAUCGCGUUAGCUUCUGUCCGCCAAAAGCGAAGCGUGUCUGCUUGCUCCCCAAGCCAACCCAAACCUUUAUAAAUACCACUCAUCACCCUCUGAAAACCCAAAUGCUUCCCAAAGCCCCAAACCACAUCAAAUUACAAAAAACCCAUUUCUUCCUUCACUUGAACACCGAAAAAACCUAUAUAUUUUAGGCCAUGUCGACGGUAGGUUAUGGUUUUGCUGAAGCAUAUGUGCUCAGAGGCCUCCACAAGAAGAAGCUGAAGAUGGAGCAAGAAGAAGAAAGAGUCAAGCUGGGCAGAGCUGAAUCUGAAAUUGGUCAGCCCAGUGGUUGUUUGUUUCGGGUGAUGAAGAAAGUCCAUCCAAGCAAUGCUCAGAGUCAAAGGGCUUGUUCAGCUGAAACAGAAGAAACUGCUGAAGUUAGGGCUUUGAACCAGAAAGUUAGAUAGAGCUCAGGCUCAUGACAUUUGUCGCUGCUUACAGUAAAAUGGGUUGUGCAUAAAAAAAUAUUCUUCUGAAAAAGUGUAUGUUUAGGCUAAGUCAUGCCUUUAGCUUAAGACUUUUUAAUGGGUUGGAUCUAUUGGUUUCAGUCCAAAUUCCAGGCCCAGUUUGUAUUAUUAUGACAGCAAUUGUUUUUUUAUUUGUUUAGAUUAUCAUUAUAAUUUAUUUUGAUGCACUUAAGCAUACUCAUUUAUUUUGAAGACUUUCAAGAACACCAACGAUUUAAUGUGGUUUUUCAAAGCCAGCCUACAUACAUAAUGAUGUUGAUAUAUUAAUGCAUGCAUACUUAUCUGCCCCCAAUGUGGGACCCAAUGACUAGGCCUUAUCACAUAUUGUGAGAAAAUCUCAUUUUGAUCCUCCACCUUUUGUUCUUGUUCGUCAAAAAAGUAACAUCUGGGGUUUAAUUAUUAAUAUGCCUCGGACUGUAUUCAUGUUACGUCGGAAUAUUUAUUAGAUUUUUUAAAUAAGAGUUAAUGUAAAAUGAGACACUAAAUUCAAGUUUGGAGGAUUAAAUAAGAUAAAUUAAAAUUUAGAGAAUGAAAUGAAAUGAAAUUUUAAAGGUCAUAUCUAUACAACUAUAUCAAUAAUUAACCUAAAAUUAUUCUCACAGUCUCUCUCAGUCACUUCUAAGAAGAACUAGGAGAGUGAGGUCUAUAGCCUAUAAGUGACUCUUGAGCUUAUGGGUAAAGAUAGUAAUGUAUUUGUAAUUAGUGAUUUAUAUGCUCAUGAAUUUGGAAUGGCAUCAUCAAAUUGACUUUUGCACACACACGUUGAUUGAUUACUAUUUGGUUAAUUAAGUAUAUUACUAAAAUUAGUAGGACCUAAAAGAUGUCAUUUUCUCAUGUAAAAUCAAAUCACGUGCAUUAUGCAAAACCACUUUUUCACUUUUUACUAAUUUCCCAUCCACUCAUGAUAUUCAUCAAAUUAUAAUUAAAUUCACAAAAAUCAUCUCAACAUUAAAAGAAAAGGUGCUCCAGGUGCUCGUGUUUCCUGAUAUAUCACGUGCAAGAUGCACGUGAUGUCACGUGCUUAACUUAGCCUAUACCUGGAUUUUUUUAUAAUAAAAAUAGCAUCGCCUCAUUCUUGAAUUUUUUUAUAAUAAAAAUAGUAUAGCCGCGCGGCUAUACUACAUCCAACUCUCAGGAAUGAACAAAAUCACCAUAUACAGUACUUUCAAUUGAGAAACCCAAUUGAAAAACCAGUAUAGAAUUGAAUCCAGAAACCCAGUUGAAAGAUCAUGAAGGAAAACCAUAUACCAGUAAAAAAUCCCAGAAACCCAAUAUAUCUUUCUUCCCCUUCGCUGACCUCCUCCCUCCGCAGCAGCACCCACCUCUUCCCGUCCUUGAAAUUCCCUCCGAAUGCAAACUACCUCAAGACCCUUCAAUUCAUUCAAUAACCGAUUCAAGCUUUUUUUUUUUUUUUGGGUGCAUGAGUCCCAGAAGCACAAUUGAAAGACCAUCAAAAUUGAAACCCUUCCAAUUAUGAAACCCAAAUUUGAGGGGAGAUCGGGAAGAAGAGGAGGAGGUGGUAAUAGAAGAUAAGGGGCCAACAGGGUGGAGGUUGUGUGUGGCUUAGGUGAAGGGGCUGGAACCAGCGAGGUUUGGGGCUGGAGAGGUUCGAUACUUGGCUGGGGAACUUUGUGACUGCUGUUUGCUUUGCUUAGGGUUUAAUUUCUUUUAAUUUUUAUUUUAUUGAAAGUUAAUUACUAUUACAGUUAAGUGAAUGGACACGUAUAAACAAAUUAUACAAGAACAUGAAAAAUAGGGACAUCGGAUCCCCUCCAGCGAAGCGGGCCCUAGGGGCCAAGCGGUGGUCCCGCACGGCUAUACAAUUUGUUUUACAAUGGGUGCAGCCGGUCCUCUUUUUUUAUUUAUAAAUAGUAUAGCCGCCCGCUAUACUUUGUGGGACAUGUGGCGACCACGCACGCAUCAACGCCAUACCUCUGCCGCCUAGAAACCAAUUUUUUCUUUUGCCUCCACGGAGUCCAAAGGCCUCACCAAACAAACAGAUAAAAUUCAACGGCCAACCGAAAAAGAAACCUAAACUGUCAAUAUUCGUCACAUCACGUUAGCUUUCCUUCCGGCAUAAGCAAAGCGUGUCUGCUUGCUCCCCGAGCCAACCCAAACCUUUAUAAAUACCACUCAUCACCCUCUGAAAACCCAAAUGCUUCACUUCUCAAGCCCCAAACCACAUCAAAUUAGAAAAAACCCCAUUUCUUCCUUCACUUGAACACCAAAAAAACCUAUAUAUUUUAGGCCAUGUCGACGGUAGGUUAUGGUUUUGCUGAGGCAUAUGUGCUCAGAGGCCUCCACAAGAAGAAGCUGAAGAUGGAGCAAGAAGAAGAAAGAGCCAAGCUGGGUGGAGCUGAAUCUGAAAUGGCUCAGCCUAGUGGUUGUUUGUUUCGGGUGAUGAAGAAAGUCCAUCCAAGCAAUGGUCAGAGUCAAAGGGCUUGUUCAGCUGAAACAGAUGAAACUGGAGAAGUUGGGGCUUUGAACCAGAAAGUAAGAUAGAGCUCAGGCUCAUGACAUUUGUAGCAGCUUUCUGUAAAAUGGGUUGUGCAAAAAAAAAAAAUUGUUCUGAUAAAGUCUCUGUUUGGGCUGAGUCAUGCUUUUACCCUAAGACUUUUUAAUGGGUUGGAUCUAUUGGUUUCAGUCCAAAUUCCGGGCCCAGUUUGUAUUAUUAUGACAGCAAUUGUUUUUUUAUUUGUUUAUAUUAUCAUUAUAAUUUAUUUUGAUGCACUUAAGCAUACUCAUUACACAUUUAACUUUGUUUUGUUGAUGGCCCAAAAAUUGGUUCAAUGAAUACUUUUUCAAGAACACGAACGAUUUAAUGUGGUUUUUCAAAGCCAGCCUACAAACAUAAUGAUGUUGAUAUAGCAUAAUGCACACUUAUCUGCCCCCAAUGUGGGACCUAAUGACUCGGCCUUAUCAUAUAUAGUGAGAAUAUCAUUUUGAUCCUCCACCUUUUGUUCUUGUUUGUCAAACAAGUAACAUCUAGGGCUUAAUUAUUGAUAUGCCUCGUACUGUACUCAUGUCACGUCGAAUUAUUUAUUAGAUUUUUUUGACAAGAGUUAGUGCAAAAUGAGACACUAAAUUCAAGUUUGGAUAAUUAGAUAAGACAAAUUGAAUGUUAGAGGGCGAAAUGAGACUGAAAAUAAAACAGAAUUUUAAGGGCCAUAUCUAUACGACUAUAUCAAUAAUUAAGCCUAAAAUUAUUCUCACAAUCUCUCUCAGUCACUUCUAAGAAGAACUAGGAGACUGAGGCCUAUAGCCUAUGUGUGACGUUUGAGCUUGUGGGUGAAGAUAGUAAUGUAUUUGUAAUUAGUGAUUUAUACGCUCAUGAAUUUGGAAUGGCAUCAUCAAAUUGACUUUUGCACACACACAUUGAUUGAUUACUAUUUGAUUAAUUAAGUAUAUUACCAAAAUUAGUAGGACCUAAAAGAUGUCAUUUUCUCAUGUAAAAUCAAAUCACAUGUAUUAUGCAAAACCACUUUUUCACUUUUUACUAAUUUCCCAUCCACUCAUGAUAUUCAUCAAAUUAUAAUUAAAUUCACAAAAAAUCAUCUCAACAUAAAAAGAAAAGGUACUCCAGGUGCACGUGUUUCCAGAUAGUAUCACGUGCAAAAUGCACGUGAUGUCACGUGAUUAACUUGGGUUUUGCUGUGAAGAUAUAUCUCACCCUCUUGACUCUUUUUUUUUUUUUUUGUGCAUUUGAAAGAAAAAAAAAUAGUGCCCUACCGCACCAAACCCAUGUGCAUGGUCAGUAGUGGUGGUGAUGGUCCCACGAUUCCCAUUCCCAUUCCUGCAAGCCCAAAAUUCAUGGGUUCUUCUUCAUUCCUGGACCUCAGAAUUCAGAUCAAUCAUCAUAUUGCAGCUCCACUUUUUUAUGUGUCUUGGCUGUGUAUUAGUGUCCUUUUGUGUUCUCCCAGUGUACUUUUGAUUUCUGUAAAUUGUAAAUUUGGCCAAAUCUAACUUAGAUACUGCCAUUGUUUCAUUCUUAUUGUUGAUGGAACAAUUUUGCUUAUCAUUUUAACUCAAGGUGUAUGCUCACCAUUCAUCUCAAUAUUUGACACGUGUCGAUAAUUAUAAUUAUGGUUACAUAAAUCAAAGUAAAAAAUCAACUAUUGUUAUGCUUAUAGACACGUGUCAAGUAUUAAGAAUAGUGAUGAGCGUACAACUUGAGUUAAAAUGAUGAGCAAAAAUAUUUCCAAAAAUGUAAUCUAGUCACCAAAUUACUCUUUAAGGUAAAAUUCUUAGGGUUUAAGAAAUGUUAUUUUGUCAUAAAGUUUGACAAUAUGUCUGACUGUGAAUUGAAAGUGUUAAUUACAUUGAUUCUUGUUUAAAUGUGUGGUUCAAAAUUUACAAUCUAGCAGCACAAAUAUGUCAAGAGAAGAUUAUUGCUCAAAGUCUUUAUGAUUUUCAAUUUGUGAAUACUACUUCCAAUAUGCACUUUUUGACAACAGAUUUUCCCAUAGGUUUCUCGUGAGUUUUAAUUAGGUGAUUGUGGUAUGUCUUCAUUUCCUUUUCACUUUUGAAGGAGUACAAGUGACUUUGUAACUUGCAAGCAAAGAAGCAUGAUUUAUGAUUUCCAGGUUUGAAUUAUUAGCCCCAGUAAUCUACCCAAAUUAUAAUGAAAUCCAUAAUUCUAAAUUAUAAUCUUUUAUUCAUAUUUCAUGUAAUUCUUUAAUAUGAUUCACUGCUAAACAAUUAAAAAUACUACCAAUUUAGCCCCCAUCAUUAAGGGCCAAAUUAGUGCCAAAGUGGUGAAAAAACAAGGGAGGGGUAUUGCAGUAAAGUUCCAACCACUCCAAUGAGAAGUGAAAGGCAAAACCCAGAGUCACAGACAAACAGACAAUGACAUCACCACGCACACCACCCAUUAUAAGAAAAAAGUAGAAAACAAAAUAAAUAAUAAAUACAAAAAUAAAAAAGAUUUAAGAGACAGACAAAUGCAGGCUUUGGCGGGUUUCCAGAAUCUGAAGUUGAUAUUUGAGCUGAAAACCCAGCUCUAUCUUACCUUAUUAAUGCUCUUAACCCUUCCAUUUACUGCUUAUUUACGCCACCCACCCAUAACCACACAUACACAGAGACAAACAGUAGCACUCUCUCUCUCUCUCUCUCCGAGUCUCUUAGAACCUUCUUAACCAAGAUUACUUGCUGUUCCUUCCACCUUAAGCACCUACAGAUCCACAGCUAGGUACCUACCCGCACUGCAUCAUCCUCAUUGCCAUUAUAAUAUUAGACAACAAAGUCUAAUUUUUUAUAACUAUACACAUUAUAUAAUUUAUAUUUUAUUUAUGGGUUUUGAAUUUUGAGUGUCAAGGUGUCAACUUUACUAGUUUUACUUGCUGCCCCUAUUCUCUUCACACCAGCACAGCAUUUGUGAAGCUGUGUGGUGCCAUUGGAUUCUUUUGGCGUUUCUGAUAAUUGGGUUUGAAUUUUGGGACAUUGGACUGUUGUUUGCUGCAUGUGGUAUUUACUUGUUAUUCCAAAUAAUGGGUUUUUGACGAUGUGUUCUAGACAAACAGUGAUUUCGGUUUUUGAAGUUUCCACAUUUGGCUAGGCAUUUCCGGUCUGGGAAGUUGGAUUUGUCUCGAACACAGUCGUAUUGGCUAUUUUGUCAGUCUUGUAGCAGCAGCGGCCUUGCGUUUGUUUUCUGAGGUUCUUCUUCUUCUGGGUCUUGCUUUUGUCGGUUUGCUGGAGCUGGCAUCUGAAUCCCCUGCUUUUUUCCCGAGCUUGGAUCCGGCGUAUCCUCAACUGGGAUUUUGAAUUUGUUUCUGGGUUUUCCCUUUUGGGCAAGUCUGUGCCUAGUCCUACAAGGUUUGUGCUCCAAUUUAGAUUUACUUAUCUUCCCAAACUGGUUCCCUUUUAACUUUCUUACAUUACCUUCUGUUUGGCUGCUGAGAAUUACGGAGAAAACUGAUUGGAAAAGAAAAUCUUGGAUUAUAUAGAUGGAUGUAGCUAAAUCUGAUCAGACCAAAUAGUAAUGUUAGGCUUGUAAGUGUUGGUUUUAGUUUUACUUUGAAUUUUAAGUUAAUGUUCAAAAUAAUGUCAUGUUUUUCUACAUGGACGCACUAGAGUAUUUCGUAGUGCAGCGUGAUCUGACCCAUCUGACUUGUAUCUGCAUUUUGAGCCAAUUUGUUUAUAUACCCAUUUCAUUUUGGAAGGGGGAAAGGGGAUCACUCUCUCUAACUUCUUGUUUUUCCUACAUGGUUCAUAAGCAUUUGUGAGGACUAAAAUAUGGCUUUGCUUUUCUGGCAUAUUGUUUAUCAUCCAAGAGAUGUAACUUCUAAUUUGCAUGAGCAGUCUCAAAUUUCAUUCCAUUUGUUGUGGAAAUAAUGCAAUCACUCUUAAUUGAUUUACAAUGGUGCAGGAGAAUGGAUUUGGAACCUUGAUGUUACACAGUUGACUAUAGAUAGAUUAUCCAGUAAUGUCGAGGAUCACUAAGUGGAAGCUUGAGAAGACAAAAGUAAAAGUGGUUUUCAGGCUACAAUUUAAUGCUACACAUGUAAGUUCUAACUUCUUAGAAUUUACUGCUGAAAUUCUAUCUUAUUAAUUUUAUUGUAAAUUUGUUUUUUAGAUUCCUCAAUUGGCUUUUCAGAGGAUCAAUAUUUUUUGUUUUGUUUUCUGUUGAUAAUUUUAAUACUUUCCCAUUUGUAUUCACUUCUUAUGAAACCCAUGCAUAAACUUCUGGCCUGUAACUGUUGUUGAUGCAAAAAUCAGUGUUGAAUAAAUCUUCUAAGCUGCCAAUUUAGAUUCACCAGUUUGUGGAAAAUAGGCUUUGUCUUGUGACUUUUAUGUUUGCUGCUUCUAUAUCGCUACUAACAUUUUCCUGGUAAUUGCCUGAAUCUGGUAUUCUAUUGUGUCAUAUGAUGUGUAAGAUAAUCUAAAAUGGACUGUAAACUUAACGCAAGUAAUGUGGCCCUGUUGCUCCCAUUAGUUGACGUGUUAUUUAAUUCUAGUUUCUUAUGGCUAAUGGCUUAGAGCAUCUACAAUCUUUGUCCCUGUCUUUUAGUUAAAAUUGAGCUAAAAACACUAGAAAACUAUUUUAGGAGCUCUCUAUAAAUUUCAACUCCAACCAUACUCCAUAGGUUUUUCUUUUUGGGUCUGAAUACUCCAUAGGUUAGGAGUCAUAAAUGUUUUCAUUCUUUUCUAAUUGAGCAUAAUUGCUCUCUCUCUUUAUAAAAUAAUAACAAAAAUAGUCAACAUUAAUAAAAGUUUUAAAAUAUUAUUAAAGUAAAGCAACAUUUAAUUAUGGGGAGCCACUAGGAGUCUUUUCUCUCCUAUAGCAUGAUUGGAAAACAUGGUGUUAUAUGUAGCAGCUACAAUCUAUGCUACGACUGAAUACAAUGUUUCUUUCUGCAUGGUCCAGGUUCCACAAACCGGAUGGGAUAAGUUGUUUAUAUCUUUUAUACCUGCUGAUUCCGGAAAGGCAACUGCAAAAACAACCAAGGCAAAUGUGAGGAAUGGGACCUGCAAAUGGGGAGAUCCUAUCUAUGAAACUACAAGACUUCUACAAGACACUAAAACAAAACAAUAUGAUGAGAAGCUUUACAAACUCGUGGUAACCAUGGUAGUAUUCCUUCAGAAGUCUUAUUCAUUAAAAAUAAUGUUUCUGAUUUAAAAUUCGGUUGAUUCAUGAACUAACUUUUCUCUAGUCCCUAAUCACCAUUGGAGCAGCUGACUGCAGACUGCAGCCAUUACCUUGUUUAAACUGAGUUUAACUUUGUUUUUGGCCUAAAUCUAACUGACAUCAGGGUUCUUCACGGUCUAGUGUCCUGGGUGAGGCUAAUAUCAACCUUGCUGAUUAUGCUGAUGCGUCAAAGCCUUCUUCUGUUGCACUGCCUCUCCACGGGUGUGAUUCUGGAACUGUUUUACAUGUGAGAAUCUCUGAAGUUCAAAGUAGACAAAAUGUUCCUAGGAAAGCUAGUUUUCUUCUUUUUUUAACUUCCAGUAAACACUGUUAGUUGUUCUUCAAUGCUGGUUAUUAACUAUAAUUUACUUCUUUUCGACAAUUGUUUUUUGUCUUAAUCCACGUCAGGUUACUGUACAGCUGCUAACUUCUAAAACUGGCUUCAGGUAGGCAUUAAAACAUGUUAAUCUCUUGCUUUAUCUAAUUUCAGUAGUUAAUCUGUACUUCUUUUCCUUUCAGAGAGUUUGAGCAGCAGAGGGAGCUCAGAGAGAGUGGUCUACGAACAACCUCUGACCAGAACAGAAAUGAUGUAUCCACAGCUAGAAGAAUAUCAUCUUCUGAAGAUACAGUGAAUGAUCAGAUGGAUAAGGUCAGUCUUUUUCUUCUGUCACUGUUCGUUCCAUGGAGUAUAUGAUGGUUCACUGUCUUGGAGUCUGCAUUUAUAUUUCUAUUGAACUUUUUGAAAAACAUAAGCUCCUUGAAACAAAUAUUUCAGAAUUUUGUCCAUCUUUGCAUAAAUCAUUUCUAUUUUAUUAUUUCACUCUUUUAUUUGUUUUGUUUAAAUACGAAAUAAAAGUUUAUUGGGAAAAGGAGCAAAACAUGCAAUAGGAGAUGGACAAGCAGUCCACCUAGGCAAUAACAACUAAAAACAUAAUACAAGGAAAACCACACUCAAUACAACAUUUCAGACAAAUCAAGAUAAAUAUUGCUAAAUGGAACAUCCCGAAACUCCAGAGCACACAAUACAAUAGGGGAUGUGCCUGUACGAUAAAUAUUAUUUCAGUUCAGUUUUUCUUAUUGAUAGCACAUCGAUGAUCUAUCUCUAUCUCUUUUGUCUGGUAUAUGCUGGUCGCAUGUCUUUUUAUUACAUGAUCUAACUUAAAACUAGUAAUCCUCUGAGGCAUGUCUGGCAUGUAUGGAAGAUAAAUAUAGAUUCAGACAAAACAAACACCUUUCUCAGAACACGUUUGUGCUAUCAAAGAUGAAAUUAGGCUCACUGUUGCUGCUAUGAUUUUAAAGACAUAAAGAUGAAGCAAGGGAUUCUAAUUCACUUUGAAAUAUAGUAUACUUCUGUAUCUGAUGAGAAAGAUAGGCCUGCUUUUGCAGAGUUUAUGGGUAUAUCUUGAAGGAAGUUGAGGUUCCACCCCAAAACCAAUUGGCAAUGGGAGGAGUAGCCCAACUCCUUAUAAACCUAGGCUAGGUCCCUUAACAUUUCAAUGUGGGACAAACACUCCCAACAUGCCCCCGCACAUGUGGCGAACUUUCAAGCCUAACACGUGGACAACACAUAUUGGGUGACGUGGGAGCACGUGUGGCCGUUGGGCCAAACACGUGAAGCCUUGCUCUGAUACCAUGAAGGAAGUUGAGGUUCCACCCCAAAACCAAUAGGCAAUGGGGAGAGUAGCCCAACUCCUUAUAAACCUAGGCUAGGUCCCUUAACAUUUCAAUGUGGGACAAACACUCUCAACAUAUCCGUCCCCUUUGAACAAUUUCCAUGAGUCAGUUACUGAGAAACUUGACGUCUCUCACAAAUUCUGAGAAUGAUAACCCUUGCGUUUUCUUGUACUUGUAAUGUUGCGUUUUAUUGUACAAAUUUAAAAACUUUCCAUUAUAUGAGUUCUUUUACUGGAUGGAGUUAUUAUCUUUGUGAUAGGCGUUCUGAUCUGUUGUCAUAAUAUAUGUUUCCAAUAAAUUUUUUCUUCUUUUUACAGAUGAAUGCGAGAGUUAAAUUUAAAGAACUCUCUCCCCUUGAAGAGGAGGUUGGGCUGAAUGAAGAGUAUGCAGAUUCAACUGUUGGAUUUGAUGGUUCUUCCAAUACUUCGGAAAGUAUAUAUGCUGAAAAACAUGAUACGUCCAGCACCCAUGAGAUUGAUAGUCUUAAGAGUACUACCUCUGGUGAUUUAGGUGGAUUGUCCCUUAGUCAAAGUCCUGGACAAGAGAAAGGAGACCCCUCUGAUCAGCAGUUCUUGGCACAGGGGACCAAUGAGUGGGCUCAUGGCUGGGGUUCUGACUUUUCUGCAGACGCUGGCCUGCCAAAUUCUUAUGAGGAAAAUAGUAGACUUAGAGGAAGCUUGGAAGCAGCUGAAUCAUCUAUUCUUGAGCUUAAGCAGGAGGUGAGCACUCUACAGAGUCAUGCUGAUGAAAUAGGCAUUGAAGCACAAAAAUUUUCCGUUCAACUUGAUGCUGAAAUUGCUUCUGGAGAACGAUUAGCAAAAGAAGUUUCCGUACUGAGAUCAGAAUGUUCAAAGUUGAAAGAAGAUCUUGAGGAGCAAAAAAGUUCCAAAUUAAGCAGAGAAACUAUUGAGAUAGGCCAGGAUUACCUUUUUCAUG